GAUGAACGCUGGCGGUAUGCUUAACACAUGCAAGUCGAACGGACUCUUCGGAGUUAGUGGCGGACGGGUGAGUAACGCGUGAGAAUCUGGCUUUGGGUUCGGGACAACCACUGGAAACGGUGGCUAAUACCGGAUGUGCCGAGAGGUAAAAGAAAAAUUGCCUGGAGAUGAGCUCGCGUCUGAUUAGCUAGUUGGUGAGGUAAAGGCCCACCAAGGCAGCGAUCAGUAGCUGGUCUGAGAGGAUGACCAGCCACACUGGGACUGAGACACGGCCCAGACUCCUACGGGAGGCAGCAGUGGGGAAUUUUCCGCAAUGGGCGAAAGCCUGACGGAGCAAUACCGCGUGAGGGAAGAAGGCUCUUGGGUUGUAAACCUCUUUUCUUAGGGAAGAACAAAAUGACGGUACCUAAGGAAUCAGCAUCGGCUAACUCCGUG
rnacentral:rRNA from 1 species